GGUCCCUACGUACCAGGAGAAGGAGCAGGGCCGGCCUCCUACUGACACCGCCACAUCGCUGCCCGCGUUCAGGUGGCUGCCCUCGAUGCCAAUCCAGGUGCCCCCCGAAAGGGGCCCACGGGCAGGGCUCACGCGGUAGAAGGUUCCGGGAGCCUGGCAGAUGACCCAGAGGCACCCCCCCACCACUCAGGACUUUGACCCGUGCCCGGAGGCCCACUGCCCUCCUGAACAGAUGGGAGACCGAGGCCUGCCACCUCAGGACCGCGAACUCAGCCUUCUCCCCUCUCCCACCACAACGUUAUAGCUCUGCAGACCCCACCAUCACUAAAUUCACGGGAUGCGA